AACGAACGCUGGCGGCAUGCCUAACACAUGCAAGUCGAACGAGACCUUCGGGUCUAGUGGCGCACGGGUGCGUAACGCGUGGGAACCUGCCCUUAGGUUCGGAAUAACUCCCCGAAAGGGGUGCUAAUACCGGAUAAUGUCUUCGGACCAAAGAUUUAUCGCCUUUGGAUGGGCCCGCGUUGGAUUAGCUAGUUGGUAGGGUAAAAGCCUACCAAGGCGACGAUCCAUAGCUGGUCUGAGAGGAUGAUCAGCCACACUGGGACUGAGACACGGCCCAGACUCCUACGGGAGGGAGCAGUGGGGAAUAUUGGACAAUGGGCUGAAGCCUGAUCCAGCAAUGCCGCGUGAGUGAUGAAGGCCUUAGGGUUGUAAAGCUCUUUUACCCGGGAUGAUAAUGACAGUACCGGGAGAAUAAGCUCCGGCUAACUCCGUG
rnacentral:rRNA from 1 species